rnacentral:rRNA from 1 species
AGACGUCUACAUUAGAUACCCGCGUAGUCCCAGCCGUAAACUAUGCGCGUUAGGUGUAUCGGUGACCACGAGUCACCGAGGUGCCGAAGGGAAACCGUGAAACGUGCCGCCUGGGAAGUACGGUCGCAAGGCUGAAACUUAAAGGAAUGGGCGGGGAGCACCACAACGGGUGGAGCCUGCGGUUUAAUUGGACUCAACGCCGGGAAGCUCACCGGAUAAGACAGCGGAAUGAUUGCCGGGCUGAAGACUCUGCAUGACUAGCUG